ensembl:lncRNA
UUUUUUUUUUUUUUUUUUUUACUAAAUCCCUCUUUCCCAAGCUUCACUUAAAUAUCUUCUUUAUUUCAUUAAAUUUUGACACAUUUCAGAUAUAAAAGGACAUUGGAUUUACUUAAUGAACAUCUGGGUAUGAUCACAGAACAUAAGCAAUAAUGUUAUAAAUAUAGAUUAAACCCUUGGUUAAUUCUUCCCUUACUGCAUUCCUUGCCCAGCCAAGAAUAGAAGAAUUCAUUAUCCUGAAUUUGGGGUUUAACAUUUUCACAUGUUUUUGGAUUUUAUCACAUAUAUAUGCGUCUUUUAUUACAUAUAUAGAUAGCAUAUGCAAUAUGACUUUGCUCAGCAUUUUGUAUGUGAGCUAUUUUAAUGAUAAAAAAAUUAAGUUCCUGCUGUAUUCUAUUUUAUUAAAUAUCUGUCAUAUAUAUAUCCAUUUUCAUGGUGAUGAAAUUUGCAUCUUUUCUAAUUUUUUGCUAUUAUGAACAAUGCUUUCUGAAAAAGUCCUCUUUUGCAUGUAUGUGUUUAUAUAAAUGAUAUGUGUAAAGAUAUAUAUAAGUAAUAUGUAUAUAGAUAUAUAAAUAUGUAUAUAUGAUAUAUACACAAAUAUGUACAUGAUCUAUAUAUGUCAUAGUGUUAUGCCUGGAAGAGAACUGAAGGGAAUAGACACUCUUAAUAGUAUUAUAUACUAUUCUCUUCUGCUCCCAGCUCUUUGCAUUGGUUUAUAUUAAACCAUCAAUGUAGAAAAAUUGCCUUUCCUCCAUGAAUAUUGUCAUGGCCUAUGUCUUUACCUUUAAAGCUCUGUUUUAAAAUCUUUUGCAUAACCACUGUUGAUGGCAACUGCAAGUAAUGACUUUCAUUAAUUUUUCAUUAUAAUCAUUAAAAAUUUCUUCUACUAUAAUUUAAAUGUUUUUCUUUUUGUUCUGAUCUCAGGUGAAAUCAAGAAUCGUAUAAUAUGAAGUUGUGGCUCAGCAAUUUAAGAACACAACAUAGUGUCAGCCAGGAUGCAGGUUUAAUCCCUGGCCUCUCUCUCUGGGUUAAGGAUCCUGUGUUGCUGCACUCUGAGGUAUAGGUCACAGAUGCCUCUCAGAUCCUACGUUGCUGUGGCUGUGGCAUAGUCAGCAGCUGUGGCUCUGAUUCUACCCCUAGCCUGGAAACUUCCAUAUGCUGUACAUGUGGCUCUCCCCACCCCACCCCCCAAAAAAUUAAUAUGAUCUGCAAAUUACUGUACUUUAAUAUUAUUGUCCUUAAAAAAAUUCUUGGUUUAAGCUAGAGUUCCAUAGAAGUAAUAAUCAUGAAACAGUAAAUGAUUUUAAUGAUGUUUAUACUGAUCCUGCAGUUCUUGGAGCACAAUGUACCUCACGGUAGGUGAUCCUGAUGUGUGUUGUAGGGGGAAGUGGGGGAGGGUAGCCUUAGGGCAAUCAAGGUAAGUUUAAGAUAGGAUGUGGGGGAUUCUGUAAUCAAUAAAUUCAUUUAAUAUGUUUAAUUCAGAAUUUUUUAAAUUAUUUUUCUAAAUUAUUUGGCCAAAACAUAUUUUUUAAAAAAUGGAUUAACAUCUACGGGACACUAGUUUUGGGUGGGAUAGUAGCGUUUUUAGGAAAGCAAGUGGGGAGUAUUUUCCUAAAGACUUGAGAAUUUAUAUUUUGAUAGCAAGAUUUCACUUAGUAUUUUUGAUAUAGAACAAGACCAUCAAAGAGGCUUCCUUUCUUUUUAAAUACGAGGAAUUUUUUGAUUCCUGAUUUUGAAUGUCUGAAUGGUAAUUCUACUUUUAAUGGAUUAAAAACGGUUUAAAAAUGAGUGUUUUUAAUUUUCUCUUGGGUAGUAUAGUCUAAUUGGUAAAAUGUUGAAUGGUGUUUCUGUCCCCUUUAUUUUCCACUUCUAAUAUAGAAUCAAUUAAGAGUAAGCAGUCGGAGAUAAUUCUUAACAUAAUUCUGUGAUCCCUUUUAUAAUAUAGUUAAUGUAAUUCCCCCAAGUAAAUGGAUAUCAAUUUCAAUAAGUUUCCUAAAUGGAAGGUGCUGUAUGAGGCCUUUCAUCCUGCCCUUUCAAAAUUGACAAUUAAGUACAUAAGAAAUAAGUGGUGAUUUUAUUAGAACCUUAUGAAAUACCUGGCCAAGUCAACUGCUUUUACUAUAGUAAUAACUUCAUUUUGUUUAAAAAUAUGAGAAAUGAAUUUUGAUCAUUUCAUUCUAGGCAAUAGUAGCAAUUAAUUAAAUAUGUGGUUAAUACAAUCUAUUCAUAAAAUUAUACAUUAGUUUAUGCAUAGUAUAAAUAAUUGGUCAUCUAUAUAUAAUUUUAUCUGCUAUUUCAUUCGAAUAGAAUGGUAGGCAAUGCUAAGGGAUGGAAGUAUUGUACACAAAUAUGGAGAACAAACUAAUGCCUACUAGAGGAGAGAGGGAAGCCAGGAGCGAUAAUAUAGGGGUAGGAGAUUAAGAGGUAUAAAGUAUUAGUAUGAAAUAAGCUACAAGGAUAUAUUGUGCAACAUGGGAAAUAUAACCAAUAUUUUAUAAAAAUUAUAAACAGAGUAUAACCCUUAAGAACUGUGAAUCACUCUAUUGUACUCUUGUAACCUGUAAUAUUGUAUAGCCCAUUGUGGCUGGUUGGGAUGGGAUGGUUGGGUCCCACCAAGGACCCAGCAUUGUCUCCAUAAGGAUGCAGGUUUGAUCCCUGGCCUCACUCGGUGGGUUAAGGAUCUGGUGUUGCUCUGGCUGUGGCAUAGGCUGGCAGCUGCAGCUCCAUUUUGACCCCUAGUCUGGGAACUUCUAUACACCGCAGGCCUGGCCAUAGGAAGAAAAAUAAAUAAAAAUUUUAAAAAGAUGGGGGGUAACGUACAUACAUAGUAAGCAUAGGCUAAAAACUGGGUUAAAAAAUGACAAUAUUAAUUUAUUCAGCAAAUGCUAAUUAUCUACUUUGUAAGCUCUUAAAGUUUCAACUCGAUGAAGGAGAGAUUAAUAGAAAAUACUUGAGUAAAUUGUAUGCUAUGUUGGAAGGGUAAAAAUGUUUUUGGAAAAAAAAAGUAAUGAAAAGGGGAUUUAAAAAUGCUAGGGGAGGGGGAGAGAGAUCCUACAUGUUUAGUGAAACUUCAUCAUUAAUAACGAAUAUCUUUCUUAAGAUAAUGUUGACUGGCAUAUUAAGUAUAUAUGUAUGUAUAUGUGUCUAUAUGUUAUAUAUUACCUGUAUUUAUAUUUUAUAUAUGAAACAACCAUAUUUGUGAGACUUAAUUACAUCUCUUCAGGUCACCUGGUGAGCUUAUUUUACAUUAUUUAUUUUAUACCGUUUGAUAUUUUUAUCUCCUGUUUAUUUCUAUAGUAAUGGCAUGCACUAUGGUGUAUGAAUUUCACUUCUCUUUAUCUUCUUUAUUCUCCUGAACCUAUACACCAGUUUUAAUGGCUCAUAUAUUUUUAUUAUUGCUUUAAUCUCAUUAUCCUUAUUACAAAAUAUAAAUGCUUUGACAUUAUUUUAAUGCAAAAAUCACUUUAAAUAAUCCUUUUUUACAUAUUUGCAAGUUGCAUUGUGAAAUCAGAGUGAAAAAUUUAAUGUUGUGAUACAUUAGAGUAACACUAGAACAUUAUUGCUUGCUGCUGCUCCAAGUGAAACAAUUUAAACUUACAUAAAUGUGAAAACAUUCUACUCAAAGUGUGUUUCUAUUAGGUAGUAUAAAUUGUAGCUUCUGAAAAAAAUAAAUACACUGGAUAAUAAUAUUUAAGAAAUAAGUGCUUCCAUCGGACAGCCUUUUUUCAAUGAAAAUGUAAUAUGCCUAAAUUUAAGUGAAAGGCCGAAAAUAAGUAGAAAAUGAAUUUGAAUAAAAAUUGAACAUACAGGAUAUAAAGAAGCAUCUUUAUAUUUUCACUUGCCUUUUAUUUUAAGUAAACUUAUUGUUUGUUUUUUUUUUUCUUUUCCAAAGUAACAAAAUCCAACCUUGGUAUGCAUAAUAUCUUAGAUGAAACAUAAAGUCUAUUCAUUUUUUCAAUAUGUAUUAAUUUAGCAGGACAUGGUAUAUAAUUGAAAUAUCAUAAUCCAUGACUUCUAAAACUUUCUGGGGGUACAGAGUAUAAAGAUGUUUGUAAUGUAGCAAGGCAGACAAACAAAUGCCAAAAUUAUCAUAACAAGGUGGAAAGGACCAAAAUAAAGUUAUGCCAACACUGCUGAGUGAGGCCAGAAGAGGGGAUGACUAUUAAAGCCAUAGGGGAAGGGUUCAAAGAUAUUAUGAGAACUCAAGGAAAUAAUAGAAUGUGAGAAGAAACUUCCAGGUACAAUGAAGAAUAUGGACCAAAAAGUAGAAACAUGCAAUUCCAGGUACAAUGAAGAAUAUGGACCAAAAAGUAGAGACAUGCAAUUCAGGGGCUAGGUGAGAAAUUACUUUGUAGUCAUCUUUAGUUGUGCGGACAGCAUUCUGUAGGAAGGAGGAUGAUAAAGAUUAUUACAAGCAAGGGUCGUGGCUAGAUUGAAUGUUAGAAAUAUCACCAUGGCAACAACUUGGGGAAUAGUUGAGGAAGUAAAUGAAAAUGUGGUGGCUAUUUAUUAGAUUAUUUUAAUAAUCCAGGAGAGAAAUAUUAAGGAACUUGAAUUAAGUCAGUAGUCGCACUGUAGUGGAAAGCAGAAAUGUAAGUGGUGAAAAUUGAUGUGAGAAUAUGAUGGAAAGAGAAAGCAAUAUCAUGGCUUCUAAAAGUUCUGUGUGACUCGGUGGGUUAGGGCACCACUGUGGGAGACAAAGGAUGCAGGAGGAGGAACAGGUUUGUGGGGAAAAGAGAUAAGGGCAGUUUUCAAAGGUCCUAUGAAAUUUUCAGGUAAAGAUGCUCAGAUCCUAGAGACCGCUAUUUUGGUAACAUGGUGCAUUAGAAAUAGAACUCCCAAAGGUGACACCCUCAGUGGACAACUAAAAAAUCUGUAAUAGUGGUAGGUAUAAUUAUGUACCUUGACUUUGGCUCUUCAUCAAGUAAAAGAGGAAAUAAAAUUGUCCUCUGAGACUAUAGCUAUAAGAUCUCACAAUAGGAUUGAAAUAGCAAGUCACAUGAUUUAUCUGACCAGAAAAAAAGAACUUAAAUCAAAAUUUAGUGAAAAAAAAAAUACCCAAAAAAACAAAAACAGAGUCCCCAUUGUGACUCAGCAGGUUAAGAACCCUACAUUUCCUCCCUGAGGAUGCAGGUUCAAUCCCUGUCCUCACCUGGUGAGUAAAAGAUCUGGCAUUGCAACCAGCUGUGGCGUAGGUCACAGAUGUAGCUCAGAUCUUGCAUUGCUAUGGCUAUGGCGUAGGCUGGCAGCUACAGCUCUAAUUCAACCCCUGGCCUGGGAACUUCCAUAGGCCCUGGGUGCGGCCGUAAAAAGAAAAAAAAAAUAGUUUAUACUAGCCACUGGUCCAUACUCUUUAUAGAAACCAGGUAGAAUGGCAUUGAUAGCCUCAGUACAGGGGUGCUUUUUAAAUAUGGGCCUCAAAUUUAACUUUAUUUCACAAAUACUUGAAAAAAUAGGAGCUCACAAGUUAAAAUUACUAACAUGACGUAACAACUUUUCAUCAAUGAAAACAAAACAGAAUGCUAAAUUUGACUAGCAGGAACUAUGGGUAUUGGGAUUAUCAAAUACAAAGUACAAAGGAAUUGUGUUUAAAAAUGUUAAAUACAUGUAUCAGGCUGCCCUGCAUCCCACAGACACUGGCAUGGCCCAUCUUUUACUCCAGCCAUCACUCUGGUAACCAAGCUUUAAUUGGCAUAACUUGAACAUGUCCUACCUUAGCUGAACUAUUUCUUCCUAGGCUUUCUUCCCUAGGUUUCUCUGAUGCCAAAUUUGUGAUGCUUGCACAUACCUAGCUGGUAUGUUUUCUCGCAGAUGGAAGUGUAAGGGCCGCCUCUAACCAGUCAGGCAUGGGA